UUUGGGUGAAAAAUUCGGAAAUACUUUCUAUAUCGAAGCGCCGGCACCCCCUACUUUAGAAACAAGAAUUGAAACAUUUUUUCCAUCGAUCGGACAAGCCUAAUACCUGGUAUUGUCCAAGUAUGUAUUUUCUUUGUGGUCCUUUCUUUCCUUCUUUUGUUUCCCUCAAGCACUUUUUCUCUCUUUUCUUCUUUCCUUCCUUCCUUCCUUCCUUCCUUCCUUCCUUCCUGACUUUCUUUCACUUUCUUUCUUUCUUUCUUUCUUUCUUUCGCUUCCCUUUUUAUUUCCUUUCCUCCCUUUCAUCAUCCCUUUAUCCAUUUCUUUCUCUUCCUUGUCUCCUUUUUCUUCUUACCCCCAUUCAUCCUUUCCUUUCCUUUUCUUUUCUUUUCUUUUCUUUCUUCCCUCCCUUCCUCCCCUCUCCUUCCUCCCCCCCUUCCCUUUUAUGUCAUCUAACAACAACCAAUCCAUAUCACUCUCUUUCUUCCCCAGGCACAUGACAGAGAUCCACUUCACUUAGCAACAGCCAAGCUGCUUUGUUCCUAUUAUUUCCACCAGCACUGGGUCUGAAAGUAGUAGUGUUUUUUCAGUUCAAAUCCCACAGUUAGUUUUAGUUAUAUAAUGAAGGGUGCCAAAUUUCAUCAAGAGCCAUCAAGCCAUGUAGAAGUCUUUGUGGUACAAACAAAUAAAGAAACAUACAUUCUUGGAUUUUUAUAUAGAGAGAAAAUUGGUCAAUUCCAUUAAUAGUAUAAUUGCAACUUAAUAAUUACUUUUAUAGUUAUGGAUUAGAACCUCAUUUAAUGGUGAGUGGAGUAACAAAUGAUUCAAAUACUAAUUGAGAGUGCUAUGAUCCCCUAAGUAGAUUGUCUCCAUCUUAACACUCCCAAGGGGUGUGUAUCCCUGUUGGUGCAUCUAGAUCUCUCAACAGUGUUGUAACAUCAACCAUAUUAUUCUUUUGGAAUGCCUAGCGGGGCUGGGAAUUAGAGUCACUGUGUUGCAACGUUUCCAGUUGUAAAUCUCAGACAGGUAACCAGAUGGUGGUGCUUGGGGAUAUCUACUCCUUUAAACAGGAGCUGUUAUAUCACAUCCCACAGGGUGCAGUUCUAUCGCCAAUGCUUUUUGACAUUUGCAUGAAACCUGAUCAUUCUGAGACAUGGGGUAGAAUGUUAUUAGUAUGCUGAUGACACUCAAAUAUAUUUCUUCAAAAACAACCUCAGCUAAGGAUAGAGUGUCUCCUCUGAAUGAAUGCCUAGUGGAAGUAAUGGGCUAGACGAGAAAACAAACAAACAAACAAAUUGAAGCUGAAUCCAGACAGACAGAGGUGCUUGCCACCAAGGGUCCUAACCUAGGUAUUGAAAUGUGUCAACCAGUUCUGGAUGGGGUUACACUCCUCCUGAAAGACUGUGUUUGCAGCUUCGGAGUGCUCCUAGAUCCAUCUCGCCAUGUCAGCCCAGGUAGAUGCGACAGUCAAGAUUGAUCUCUUCCAGUAGGCCUUUGAAUUAUUAGUUUCGAAUUUGUUGCUAUAUGUUGAUUUUUUGUUUGGUGUAUGUUUUUCACAAAUGUGUGUUUUAUCUAUGUAUUUUAUUGUAUGUAUUUUAUUUUUACAGUAGAUUCUCACUUAUCCAAGCUUCACUUAUCCAAUGUUCUGUAUUAUCCGACACAGUCUGCCUUUUAAUAGUCAUUGUUUUUUGUAGUAAAUGCUGCAAUGUUUUGGUGCUAAAUUCGUAAAUACAGUAAUUACUACAUAACAUUACUGUGUAUUGAACUGCUUUUUCUGUCAAUUUCUUGUAAAACAUGAUGUUUUGGUACUUAAUUUGUAAAAUCAUAAUGUAAUUUUAUGUUUAAUAGGCUUUUUUCUUAAUUCCUCAUUAUCCAAGAUUUUCGCUUAUCCAAUGUUCUGCCAGCCUGUUUAUGUUGGAUAAUAGAGACUCUACUGUAUAUGUUUUUAUUAUGUUGUACCCCUCUUUGAGACAUUAGGAGAGUUAGAUAACAAAUAAAAGUAUUAUUAUUAUUAUUAUUAUUAUUAUUAUUAUUAUUAUUAUUAUUAUUAGUUCAUGCUUAAUCUCAGGCAGGUAUAGUGUGUUGAAGUGAUGACAAAGUGGAAAGAACUAUUGGAAAGAACUGGCCAAUAGUAUGUAACUUUUAGAUUUUUAAGAAAAUUACUAAAAUAUCUAUUUUUGAAAAUGGGGAAGAGAUGGGAUGGAAAACUCUGUUAUGUAACUUGCCCAAGGAUAAGUCAGACCAGUUUUAUGGGGGGGGGGGGGGAGGUUAAACUAAAAUUCCUAGUCUUAUACAUAAGUAUGUACAGUAUCUCCUGUUGGCUUGGAUUGUGAAAAUUGUCAUAUUGCUUUUUGGAGAGGUUUACAUAUAUAAAUGACAUUUGGAUACAUGGUGGUCUACUCAGAAAAUCUUGAUCUUGAAUAAUGUAAGAUACAUGGGACAUUUAAAAAAAUCUUGUAGACUUUUAAAUUCACUUUAAGUACCACCAUAACUUGUGGACUUGUUCCAUAUUUGGAAAUGUUCCUACUCCUUAAGGUCAAUAUAUAGGUCAAUAUAUCCAGUGCUUUCUAUGCUAUCCCACCUUUAAAGUAUGCUUUAAUGUAAAAUAUGUUCAUAUAACUCCUUUCAAUUGUUCAAAGGAUGCUCAAAACAAAAAUGUGAUCAGAGAAAGCUAAUCAAGCCUGGACCCAUCUAUAGCUAGCUACACCUUCUGUGUGGGAAACAAUAGAUUGAAAAGAAGAGUCUCUGCUGCAUGUGGAAAAGCAACAAGGAGGUGUGAGUGCCAUUGAUGAGUAGCCAAUCAGAACUACUACAAACAAGAAGAAGUUGUCAGAAGUCCUGAGAUAAUCUCAAGAUUUGAAGAAGUAAAAAAUGAAGACAAAAGCCUCUUAACCUAUGAAAGCAAAAACAAUUUGAAGAAUGAGCACUUCAGGAGUUGACUGUUGAGGAGAAGGAAAAACUGAGUAAUCUGUACUGUUACUUGACUAUCCACAUGCCCCAUCUACAUUGCCAUGUAAUCCAAUUUCUGAAUACAAAUAGCUGCUUUCAACUAGAUUAUAAAACUGAUAUAAUCCAAUUCAAAACAGUUAAUCUGCAUUCAGAAACUAGAUUAUAUGGCAAUGUAGAUCCCACUUCGGUCACUACUUUUGAUUUUUGUCAAAAUUUUAUAAUGUAGGAAGUGCAUGUGACAUGAUUGCUUAAAAUAAAAAAGGAUUGUCUGCACAAGUCUAGCUCCAAGAUAUUUUGUUGCCCUCGCAAAGCCAAGCUACAUCACUUCUAGGCCCCAUCUACCCUGCCAUAUAAAAUCCAGUUUAUAUGCUUUGAACUGAAUUAUGUGGCAGUGUAGACUAAUAUAAUCCAAUCCAAAGAAGAUAAUCUGGAUUUUAUAUGGCAGUGUAGAUAGGGACCUAGCCAUUCAAGUAAAUUUCAAUGUUACUUUUCUCCCCCUCCCCCCUGCACCGGGGCAGUAAAAAUUCAAUAAUAAUAAAAGAAGUGAUACGCAG